rnacentral:rRNA from 1 species
AACAGAGGCUGUACCUGCUUGUCAGUGCUCAAUUUCAUCUAAUCUCUGAGCUAAGCAGGACCAGGCCUGGUUAGUACUUGGAUGGGAGACUAUACUGGGAAUAUCACGUGCCACGGUCA